AUUGAACGCUGGCGGCAGGCUUAACACAUGCAAGUCGAGCGGGGAAGUAUAGCUUGCUAUACGACCUAGCGGCGGACGGGUGAGUAAUGCUUAGGAAUCUGCCUAUUAGUGGGGGACAACAUUCCGAAAGGAAUGCUAAUACCGCAUACGCCCUACGGGGGAAAGCAGGGGAUCUUCGGACCUUGCGCUAAUAGAUGAGCCUAAGUCAGAUUAGCUAGUUGGUGGGGUAAAGGCCUACCAAGGCGACGAUCUGUAGCGGGUCUGAGAGGAUGAUCCGCCACACUGGGACGGAGACACGGCCCAGACUCCUACGGGAGGCAGCAGUGGGGAAUAUUGGACAAUGGGCGAAAGCCUGAUCCAGCCAUGCCGCGUGUGUGAAGAAGGCCUUUUGGUUGUAAAGCACUUUAAGCGAGGAGGAGGCUACUUGGAUUAAUACUCUAGGAUAGUGGACGUUACUCGCAGAAUAAGCACCGGCUAACUCUGUGCCAGCCGCCGCAGUAA
rnacentral:rRNA from 1 species